rnacentral:rRNA from 1 species
AGAGUUUGAUUAUGGCUCAGGACGAACGCUGGCGGCGUGCCUAACACAUGCAAGUCGAGCGGGGACAUGCGACGGAGUCGAAGUUUCGGAUGGAGACAAAGAUGUAUUGUCUAGCGGCGGACGGGUGAGUAACGCGUGAGCAACCUGUCCCUUACAGGGGGAUAACACAGCGAAAGUUGUACUAAUACCGCAUAAGACCACAGAGUGACAUCGCUCAGGGGUCAAAGGAGUAAUCCGGUAAGGGGUGGGCUCGCGUCCGAUUAGAUAGUUGGUGAGGUAACGGCCCACCAAGUCGACGAUCGGUAGCCGACCUGAGAGGGUGAUCGGCCACAUUGGGACUGAGACACGGCCCAAACUCCUACGGGAGGCAGCAGUGGGGAAUAUUGGGCAAUGGGGGGAAACCCUGACCCAGCAACGCCGCGUGAGGGAAGAAGGUUUUCGGAUCGUAAACCUCUGUCCUUGGUGAAGAGGAAGAGACGGUAGCCAAGGAGGAAGCCCCGGCUAACUACGUGCCAGCCGCCGC